GUGGCCUACAGUACCCUGUCCUGUAUACACACAACAGUGCAGUGAAAGUUUAUUAUCAAUAGAGAGAGAUAUAUAAAUAUAAAAGUGAAAUUUAUUCUUAUUAAUCAAUAUGCAUGUUAUUAAACGAUAUACAUAUUUUGUAGAAGUUAUUUUAGCAUAAAAAAACUGCUAACAUUACGCUCUGUUUAUAAAGUGAAAAAAAUCAUCAGCAGAAGUUAAAGAAGUAAACUUCUGUAAAGUGUACAACUGUUGCAAAGUGGUUUGGAGCAGUUCCCAAAGUGUACACUGCGGAAAAGUGAUUUUGCGGAUUUUCUGAUUUCCUCGUUGAGGAAGUGUGUUGACCUCUGUAUUCGCCAGCUGGAACUGUAAUCAAGGUUGAUAUGUGAACGCUAUGGUAGACACAAAGAAAGGAUUGAGAGAGUGGAAGAAGAAUGGAUUUAUUAAGAACGGAUAAAAAUCAGCAAUGAUGGAUUGGGGUGAGGAAGAAAUAGGUGACGGGACAAAGAAAAUCGAGAAAAUGCGAGGCUCACAGGUUAAA